GCUGUGUGUCCGGGUGGUGAGGGAGCGGUCCUGAAAACCGUUGGUCGGCAGACUUGCAGGUUCGAAUCCUGUGCACAGCGCCA
rnacentral:tRNA from 1 species